rnacentral:lncRNA from 1 species
CAUUGCCACUGCGUUGUAUCUCGAUCAUAUAUAGUCUAGGGUACAGUUCCCUUUCCCGCCUCACUUUCUAACGAACAAUCUUUCCAAUCCAUGAGCUCAAUCGCAUUGUUAACAACAAUCAAGUCUCGAGUCAGAAUGCAUUCGGGCACCAACGUGCGAAGCCUUUACGUCAUGGCUCUAGUUAGCUGUGUGAUAUUCUUUUCUAUGGUGGGAUGGCUACAUUGGCUUUUUCAUGUAGCUCAAUGACGCGAUUCAAAGUACCGGCUCAUUCCUCGAAGCUUUUCUUUUUUCCCUUCGAAAACAACUGAUGUGUUAAUUUACUACGACCCUAAGGCGUUCGGACUGUUAUUGAUGGUGAUUGGCGUUCCUUUGUGAUUAUAGCGUUAUGGGGUAAAGGAACCAAUCGGAGCGUGGCAAAAGGCAUUACUUGUUCCAGGCUUUGGCGUCCUAUGGUUCUCGAUGGCACUAGUAUUGUUAGGCCAUCUGCAUCACAGAUAAAUGAAAUUCAAACGAGAGCAUUGUAUGACACUAGCGCCUAUAAGUGUACUGCCUUAAAUAGGAAGGCACUCUGAAAACAUGUCAGAAGCCUGGUACCCACAAGAUCUCUAAUUUUACACCCAAUAUUGCCUAAAAUAGCAAUACUGUAUUCUGUCCUGGAUGAUCAAAGAAUUUCGCCGUA